GAUAAAAUGGUGAAGGUCGGUGUGAGCAGAUUUGACUGUAUUGGGCAUUUGGUUACCAGGGCUGCCUUCUGCUCUGCACUUGGCAAAGUGGAGAUUGUUGUCAUCAACAACCCCUUCAUGAACCUCAGCUACAUGAUCUACAUGUUCCAGUAUGACUCCACCCAUGGCAAACUCAAUGACAUAGUCAAGGCUGAGAAUGGGAAGCUUGUCAUCAAUGGGAAGACCAUCACCAUCUUCCAGGAGCAAGACCCCACUAACAUCGAAUGGGGUGAUGCUGGUGCUCAGUAUGUUGUGGAGUCUACUGGCAUCUUCACCACCAUGGAGACAGCUGGGGCCCACUUGAAGGGUGGGGCCAAAAGGGUCAUCAUCUCUGCCCCUUCUGCUGAUGCUCCCCUGUUUGUGAUGGGUAUGAACCAUGAGAAAUAUGACAAUUCAUUCAAAAUUGUCAGCAACGCAUCCUGCACUACCAACUGCUUAGAUGCCCCUGGCCAAGGUCAUCCAUGACAACUUUGGCAUUGUGGAAGGGCUCAUGACUACAGUCCAUGCCAUCACUGCCACUCAGAAGACUGUGGAUGGCCCCUCUGGAAAGCUGUGACGUGAUGGCCAUGGGGCUGGCCAGAACAUCAUCCCUGUAUCUACUGGUGCUGCCCAAGGCUGUGGGCAAGGUCAUCCCAGAGCUGAACAGGAAGCUCACUGGCAUGGCCUUCCAUGUUCCUACCCAUAAUGCAUCCCUUGUGGAUCUGACAUGCCACCUGGAGAAACUGGCCAAGUAUGAUGACAUCAAGAAGGUGGUGAAGAAGGCAUCUGAAGGCCCACUGAAGGAUAUCCUGGGCUACACCGAGGACCAGGUUGUCUCCUGCGACUUCAACAGCAACUCCCACUCUUCCACCUUUGAUGCUGGGGUUGGCAUUGCUCUCAAUGACAACUUUGAAAAGCUCAUUUCCUGGUAUGACAAUGAAUAUGGCUGUAGCAACAGGGUUGUGGACCUCAUGUUCUACAUGGCCUCCAAGUAGUAAGAAACCCUGGACCAUCCACCCCAGCAAGGACACUGAGAGCAAGAGAGAGGCUCUCAGUUGCUAUCUCAACUCGGCCCCAAACACUGAGCAUCUCCCUCACAAUUUCCAUCCCAGACUCACAUAACAGAAGGGGCCUGGGGAACCCUCCCUACUCUCUUGAAUGCCAUCAACAAAGUUCCC